AGAGUUUGAUCCUGGCUCAGGAUGAACGCUGGCGGCGUGCCUAAUACAUGCAAGUCGAGCGAACGGACGAGAAGCUUGCUUCUCUGAUGUUAGCGGCGGACGGGUGAGUAACACGUGGAUAACCUACCUAUAAGACUGGGAUAACUUCGGGAAACCGGAGCUAAUACCGGAUAAUAUUUUGAACCGCAUGGUUCGAAAGUGAAAGACGGUCUUGCUGUCACUUAUAGAUGGAUCCGCGCUGCAUUAGCUAGUUGGUAAGGUAACGGCUUACCAAGGCAACGAUGCAUAGCCGACCUGAGAGGGUGAUCGGCCACACUGGAACUGAGACACGGUCCAGACUCCUACGGGAGGCAGCAGUAGGGAAUCUUCCGCAAUGGGCGAAAGCCUGACGGAGCAACGCCGCGUGAGUGAUGAAGGUCUUCGGAUCGUAAAACUCUGUUAUUAGGGAAGAACAUAUGUGUAAGUAACUGUGCACAUCUUGACGGUACCUAAUCAGAAAGCCACGGCUAACUACGUGCCAGCAGCCGCGGUAAUACGUAGGUGGCAAGCGUUAUCCGGAAUUAUUGGGCGUAAAGCGCGCGUAGGCGGUUUUUUAAGUCUGAUGUGAAAACCCACGGCUCAACCGUGGAGGGUCAUUGGAAACUGGAAAACUUGAGUGCAGAAGAGGAAAGUGGAAUUCCAUGUGUAGCGGUGAAAUGCGCAGAGAUAUGGAGGAACACCAGUGGCGAAGGCGACUUUCUGGUCUGUAACUGACGCUGAUGUGCGAAAGCGUGGGGAUCAAACAGGAUUAGAUACCCUGGUAGUCCACGCCGUAAACGAUGAGUGCUAAGUGUUAGGGGGUUUCCGCCCCUUAGUGCUGCAGCUAACGCAUUAAGCACUCCGCCUGGGGAGUACGACCGCAAAGUUGAAACUCAAAGGAAUUGACGGGGACCCGCACAAGCGGUGGAGCAUGUGGUUUAAUUCGAAGCAACGCGAAGAACCUUACCAAAUCUUGACAUCCUUUGACAACUCUA
rnacentral:rRNA from 1 species